rnacentral:RNase_P_RNA from 13 species
GAAUGGGAGAGAGAAGAGAAAGAGGAGAAGAGGCAAGACAAUAUUCAAUUGUCAUCUUUCUUUUCUCCUCUCUUCUAUUUUUUUCUUCUCUUUCUUUUCUUCUUAUUUCAAGCUCCUCUUUCGCGUAUUCCAUCUCAGCCAGACGACGACUCACAAAAGCAGCAUAACAAAGAGCUUCUCUAUUAUGAGGAAAACUUCUCAGAGACAUUUCGAAUUUACAGAGAGCUCUCUCCAUCAUUUCUUUUGUUUCUUCAACGUGAAAAAGUUUUAAAAA